GGAAGUAAAGUCGUAACAAGGUUUCCGUAGGUGAACCUGCGGAAGGAUCAUUAUUGUAUAGCCGAGGUGCGAGGGCUGUCGCUGACCCGAAAGGUCGUGCACGCCCGAGUGCCCUCACACACAUCCAUCUCACCCCUAUGUGCACCACCGCGUGGGUCCCCCUUUGGCUUGUUCGGAGGGGGGCUUACGUUUUCACACAAACUUUGUAUGCAGUGUAGAAUGUAUUUUUUGUUUUUGCGAUCACGCAAUCAAUACAACUUCCAACAACGGAUCUCUUGGCUCUC
rnacentral:misc_RNA from 1 species